rnacentral:miRNA from 1 species
UCAUCGUGCAUGGGAACGGUCAUCU